rnacentral:rRNA from 1 species
CCCUUAGAUGUUCUGGGCCGCACGCGCGCUACACUGAUGCAUUCAACGAGUCUAAAACCUGCUCUGAUAGGGGUGGGUAAUCUUUUGAAUGUGCAUCGUGAUUGGGAUAGAUGAUUGCAAUUUUUCAUCUUCAACGAGGAAUGCCUAGUAAACGCAAGUCAUCAGCUUGCAUUGAUUACGUCCCUGCCCUUUGUACACACCGCCCGUCACUCCUACCGAUUGAAUGAUCCGAUGAAUAUCAUGGAUUGAGGAUGUAAGCAGGUUCGCCUGUCUUCAUCUUCGAGAAGUGAAGUAAAUCUUAUCAUUUAGAGGAAGGAGAAGUCGUAACA